UAGCUUGGUGACAGUUAUUAUAAGCGAACUCCACCAAAGGUAUAUGUUCAUCCCAUGAGCCUUUCAUAUCAAGAAUAGAUGCUCUCAACAUAUCCUCUAAGAUUUGAGUACUUUUUGAGCAUCGGUCUAUGGAAGGCAAUACUGAAGUUUAGCAGUCCCUAAGGUUCUGUGCAAACUCUUCCAAAAUUGCGAUACAAUCUGAUGUCCCUAUCGCCAUGGUUACAUGAAUUUUGUGCACAGACUUCGUUGGUCUAUCCACAAUCACCCAAAUUGCAUCAUUUGCACUAGGAGUCUUGGAUAACUCCAAAUACAAAAUUAGUAGUAAUAUGUUCCCACUCACACUGGAAUAUCAAGAGGUUGAAACAGUCCUGCUGGCCUCUGAUGCUCAUCUUUUACUUGCUGACAAAUCAAACAUUGAGCCACAGAUUGAACAAUCUCCUUUUCCUGUUGUCCACUAGAAGAACUUCAAAAUCUUUAUACAUUUUAGUACCUUGAGGAUGUAUUGUAUUUCCUCUUUAAUCG
rnacentral:lncRNA from 1 species